CAUGAUAUUCUCUAUUGUGAUAGGGUGGGAGGGAGGAGAAUGCUGGGCCAUUGUGAUGUCUAUCUGUAGACUUUGAGUGUGAGAAUAAGAGAAUUCUUCCUCUGGUACUAUUCAACAGCAGCAGGUUUACACCCACUAGAGGAGAAAGCUUGGAAGACUAAAGACUUCAGGGAACACCCUUUUCCAUUUCAACCCAAGGGGCCCAUUCCUUCCUUAAUAUGGAAAAAAAAUCAAGUAUGCUCCGUGUUCUUGGAGGCAGAGAGAGAAGUCCCUUCCCUAAAUUUACAAUGCAUCCAAGGUUUUGACUAGAUAAAGGCAAAAAAUCAGCAGUUAGUGUCUAGUAGCCUACAAGAGAACGCAUUUGAGGAAAGAUAUUGAAAAGCUGGAAUACAUCUAGAGAAUAGCUACAUGGAUGAGAAAGGGAUUCAAAGUCAUACUGUGAAUAGAAAGAUUGAAACUCCUACAAAUGUUUAGCGUAAAGAAGAAACUACUGGGGGGAAAGAGUAUGAAGUUUAUGGAAAAAGAUAAUGGCCUCUCCAAAAGGUCCUCAUCUCAGUUUACAGAUUUGUUUCUGGAAAAAACAAAAAGGGGGAAACCCGAAGUUAGUGAAAAAACUAAAGAUGAUGCCUCUGUACCCGUCAAAAGAAGAAAGAUCGUUUUUGAACCCCCUAAAACUGCUACCAACUCUGGUCUCUUAAGAAAUAUUGAAAAUAAAAAAAUAUGGAACACAUAUCAGUCAGCUCUGUCACAGUCUAAGUCAACACCAUCAAAAAUACCAUUAUUUAUGAAUGAAAAACCCUCCCCUCCCUGGGAAGACGAGGGAAAAACGGAGGAAGAAUGUCUACUUGAUUCUUUAAGAAAAAUGGUUAAUGAAAACCAAGAGCUAAGGAAAGAAAAUGAAGAAUUGAAGCAAUUAAUUAAAGAAAUGAAGAAUUCUUUCCUACAUAGGUUAUUUACUCCAGACAUCCAUAUGACGACAAUAGACUAUCUACAGCAACUUAAUAUUUAUUCUUCAUUCCUAAGAGAUGACUUGAAUCUUCAGGAUAAAAAUACAAAACCUUUGAUUAUAGAUCCUCGGGAUCCAGAUAAAUACUCCAAAGUGCUGAGUAGCCUGCUUGAAGAUAAACUAGAAAAAGUUAAAAUUUUAGCUUGUGAAGAAUUUAUCAAGCAAACUUGCAAUAAGGAAGGGUGGAAGGAACCAAGCCAAAGGGAGUUCCAAAAAAUUUUCACAGCCAAGAUAGACAAUGCCCGUUGGAAUAUAAGACACGCCAUGCAAAAAGCUGCCUGAAGAUGUGCCCUUCUUUCUUCUCACCAUUCUACUAUGUAAUACUUUGGCUCAAAGGAAAGUCAGACAAUUAAAUAAG
rnacentral:lncRNA from 1 species